rnacentral:rRNA from 1 species
AAUGAACGCUGGCGGCAUGGCUAAGACAUGCAAGUCGAACGGACCUAUUUGAAGAGUAAUCAGAUAAUAGGUUAGUGGCGAAAGGGUGAGGAAUAGAUAGGUAACGUACCUCGGGCUCCGGAAUAGCUCAUCGAAAGGUGGGGUAAUGCCGGAUAAUGUCAUCUGUUAAAUGCAGAUGACCAAAGAUUUAUCGGCCUUUGAGCGGCCUAUCUCCUAUCAGCUUGUUGGUGAGGUAACGGCUCACCAAGGCGACGACGGGUAGCGGGACUGAGAGGUUGGCCCGCCACAUCGGAACUGAGACACUGUCCGGACCUCCACGGAGGGCUGCAGUAACGAAUAUUGGGCAAUGGGCGAAAGCCUGACCCAGCAAUGCCGCGUGUAGGAUGAAGCCCCUCGGGGUGUAAACUACUUUCAGGGAUUAGAAAGCUACGGUUGAUCAGUCCCAGAAGAAGUCACGGCUAACUUCGUG